ACCUACGGGGGGCAGCAGUGGGGAAUAUUGCACAAUGGGGGAAACCCUGAUGCAGCGACGCCGCGUGAGUGAAGAAGUAUUUCGGCAUGUAAAGCUCUAUCAGCAGGGAAGAUAAUGACGGUACCUGACUAAGAAGCCCCGGCUAACUACGUGCCAGCAGCCGCGGUAAUACGUAGGGGGCAAGCGUUAUCCGGAUUUACUGGGUGUAAAGGGAGCGCAGGCGGCAGGGCAAGUCUGAUGUGAAAACCCGGGGCUCAACCCCGGGAGUGCAUUUGAAACUGUCCAGCUGGAGUGCAGGAGGGGCA
rnacentral:rRNA from 1 species